UUAAGCGACUAAGCGUACACGGUGGAUGCCCUGGCAGUCAGAGGCGAUGAAGGACGUGCUAAUCUGCGAUAAGCGUCGGUAAGGUGAUAUGAACCGUUAUAACCGGCGAUUUCCGAAUGGGGAAACCCAGUGUGUUUCGACACACUAUCAUUAACUGAAUCCAUAGGUUAAUGAGGCGAACCGGGGGAACUGAAACAUCUAAGUACCCCGAGGAAAAGAAAUCAACCGAGAUUCCCCCAGUAGCGGCGAGCGAACGGGGAGGAGCCCAGAGCCUGAAUCAGUGUGUGUGUUAGUGGAAGCGUCUGGAAAGGCGCGCGAUACAGGGUGACAGCCCCGUACACAAAAAUGCACAUGCUGUGAGCUCGAUGAGUAGGGCGGGACACGUGGUAUCCUGUCUGAAUAUGGGGGGACCAUCCUCCAAGGCUAAAUACUCCUGACUGACCGAUAGUGAACCAGUACCGUGAGGGAAAGGCGAAAAGAACCCCGGCGAGGGGAGUGAAAAAGAACCUGAAACCGUGUACGUACAAGCAGUGGGAGCCUCUUUUAUGGGGUGACUGCGUACCUUUUGUAUAAUGGGUCAGCGACUUAUAUUCUGUAGCAAGGUUAACCGAAUAGGGGAGCCGAAGGGAAACCGAGUCUUAACUGGGCGUUAAGUUGCAGGGUAUAGACCCGAAACCCGGUGAUCUAGCCAUGGGCAGGUUGAAGGUUGGGUAACACUAACUGGAGGACCGAACCGACUAAUGUUGAAAAAUUAGCGGAUGACUUGUGGCUGGGGGUGAAAGGCCAAUCAAACCGGGAGAUAGCUGGUUCUCCCCGAAAGCUAUUUAGGUAGCGCCUCGUGAAUUCAUCUCCGGGGGUAGAGCACUGUUUCGGCAAGGGGGUCAUCCCGACUUACCAACCCGAUGCAAACUGCGAAUACCGGAGAAUGUUAUCACGGGAGACACACGGCGGGUGCUAACGUCCGUCGUGAAGAGGGAAACAACCCAGACCGCCAGCUAAGGUCCCAAAGUCAUGGUUAAGUGGGAAACGAUGUGGGAAGGCCCAGACAGCCAGGAUGUUGGCUUAGAAGCAGCCAUCAUUUAAAGAAAGCGUAAUAGCUCACUGGUCGAGUCGGCCUGCGCGGAAGAUGUAACGGGGCUAAACCAUGCACCGAAGCUGCGGCAGCGACACUGUGUGUUGUUGGGUAGGGGAGCGUUCUGUAAGCCUGUGAAGGUGUACUGUGAGGUAUGCUGGAGGUAUCAGAAGUGCGAAUGCUGACAUAAGUAACGAUAAAGCGGGUGAAAAGCCCGCUCGCCGGAAGACCAAGGGUUCCUGUCCAACGUUAAUCGGGGCAGGGUGAGUCGACCCCUAAGGCGAGGCCGAAAGGCGUAGUCGAUGGGAAACAGGUUAAUAUUCCUGUACUUGGUGUUACUGCGAAGGGGGGACGGAGAAGGCUAUGUUGGCCGGGCGACGGUUGUCCCGGUUUAAGCGUGUAGGCUGGUUUUCCAGGCAAAUCCGGAAAAUCAAGGCUGAGGCGUGAUGACGAGGCACUACGGUGCUGAAGCAACAAAUGCCCUGCUUCCAGGAAAAGCCUCUAAGCAUCAGGUAACAUCAAAUCGUACCCCAAACCGACACAGGUGGUCAGGUAGAGAAUACCAAGGCGCUUGAGAGAACUCGGGUGAAGGAACUAGGCAAAAUGGUGCCGUAACUUCGGGAGAAGGCACGCUGAUAUGUAGGUGAAGCGACUUGCUCGUGGAGCUGAAAUCAGUCGAAGAUACCAGCUGGCUGCAACUGUUUAUUAAAAACACAGCACUGUGCAAACACGAAAGUGGACGUAUACGGUGUGACGCCUGCCCGGUGCCGGAAGGUUAAUUGAUGGGGUCAGCGCAAGCGAAGCUCUUGAUCGAAGCCCCGGUAAACGGCGGCCGUAACUAUAACGGUCCUAAGGUAGCGAAAUUCCUUGUCGGGUAAGUUCCGACCUGCACGAAUGGCGUAAUGAUGGCCAGGCUGUCUCCACCCGAGACUCAGUGAAAUUGAACUCGCUGUGAAGAUGCAGUGUACCCGCGGCAAGACGGAAAGACCCCGUGAACCUUUACUAUAGCUUGACACUGAACAUUGAGCCUUGAUGUGUAGGAUAGGUGGGAGGCUUAGAAGUGUGGACGCCAGUCUGCAUGGAGCCGACCUUGAAAUACCACCCUUUAAUGUUUGAUGUUCUAACGUUGACCCGUGAUCCGGGUUGCGGACAGUGUCUGGUGGGUAGUUUGACUGGGGCGGUCUCCUCCUAAAGAGUAACGGAGGAGCACGAAGGUUGGCUAAUCCUGGUCGGACAUCAGGAGGUUAGUGCAAUGGCAUAAGCCAGCUUGACUGCGAGCGUGACGGCGCGAGCAGGUGCGAAAGCAGGUCAUAGUGAUCCGGUGGUUCUGAAUGGAAGGGCCAUCGCUCAACGGAUAAAAGGUACUCCGGGGAUAACAGGCUGAUACCGCCCAAGAGUUCAUAUCGACGGCGGUGUUUGGCACCUCGAUGUCGGCUCAUCACAUCCUGGGGCUGAAGUAGGUCCCAAGGGUAUGGCUGUUCGCCAUUUAAAGUGGUACGCGAGCUGGGUUUAGAACGUCGUGAGACAGUUCGGUCCCUAUCUGCCGUGGGCGCUGGAGAACUGAGGGGGGCUGCUCCUAGUACGAGAGGACCGGAGUGGACGCAUCACUGGUGUUCGGGUUGUCAUGCCAAUGGCACUGCCCGGUAGCUAAAUGCGGAAGAGAUAAGUGCUGAAAGCAUCUAAGCACGAAACUUGCCCCGAGAUGAGUUCUCCCUGACUCCUUGAGAGUCCUGAAGGAACGUUGAAGACGACGACGUUGAUAGGCCGGGUGUGUAAGCGCAGCGAUGCGUUGAGCUAACCGGUACUAAUGAACCGUGAGGCUUAACCUU
rnacentral:rRNA from 1 species